UGCCCGCCGCCGCGGUAAUAAGUAAGCGGCCACCCUCUUCCCGGAUUUAUUCGCCUUAGAGUUUGAAUCUGGCUCAGGACGAACGCUGGCGGCGUGCCUAAUACAUGCAAGUCGAACGAACUCUGGUAUUGAUUGGUGCUUGCAUCAUGAUUUACAUUUGAGUGAGUGGCGAACUGGUGAGUAACACGUGGGAAACCUGCCCAGAAGCGGGGGAUAACACCUGGAAACAGAUGCUAAUACCGCAUAACAACUUGGACCGCAUGGUCCGAGUUUGAAAGAUGGCUUCGGCUAUCACUUUUGGAUGGUCCCGCGGCGUAUUAGCUAGAUGGUGGGGUAACGGCUCACCAUGGCAAUGAUACGUAGCCGACCUGAGAGGGUAAUCGGCCACAUUGGGACUGAGACACGGCCCAAACUCCUACGGGAGGCAGCAGUAGGGAAUCUUCCACAAUGGACGAAAGUCUGAUGGAGCAACGCCGCGUGAGUGAAGAAGGGUUUCGGCUCGUAAAACUCUGUUGUUAAAGAAGAACAUAUCUGAGAGUAACUGUUCAGGUAUUGACGGUAUUUAACCAGAAAGCCACGGCUAACUACGUGCCAGCAGCCGCGGUAAUACGUAGGUGGCAAGCGUUGUCCGGAUUUAUUGGGCGUAAAGCGAGCGCAGGCGGUUUUUUAAGUCUGAUGUGAAAGCCUUCGGCUCAACCGAAGAAGUGCAUCGGAAACUGGGAAACUUGAGUGCAGAAGAGGACAGUGGAACUCCAUGUGUAGCGGUGAAAUGCGUAGAUAUAUGGAAGAACACCAGUGGCGAAGGCGGCUGUCUGGUCUGUAACUGACGCUGAGGCUCGAAAGUAUGGGUAGCAAACAGGAUUAGAUACCCUGGUAGUCCAUACCGUAAACGAUGAAUGCUAAGUGUUGGAGGGUUUCCGCCCUUCAGUGCUGCAGCUAACGCAUUAAGCAUUCCGCCUGGGGAGUACGGCCGCAAGGCUGAAACUCAAAGGAAUUGACGGGGGCCCGCACAAGCGGUGGAGCAUGUGGUUUAAUUCGAAGCUACGCGAAGAACCUUACCAGGUCUUGACAUACUAUGCAAAUCUAAGAGAUUAGACGUUCCCUUCGGGGACAUGGAUACAGGUGGUGCAUGGUUGUCGUCAGCUCGUGUCGUGAGAUGUUGGGUUAAGUCCCGCAACGAGCGCAACCCUUAUUAUCAGUUGCCAGCAUUAAGUUGGGCACUCUGGUGAGACUGCCGGUGACAAACCGGAGGAAGGUGGGGAUGACGUCAAAUCAUCAUGCCCCUUAUGACCUGGGCUACACACGUGCUACAAUGGAUGGUACAACGAGUUGCGAACUCGCGAGAGUAAGCUAAUCUCUUAAAGCCAUUCUCAGUUCGGAUUGUAGGCUGCAACUCGCCUACAUGAAGUCGGAAUCGCUAGUAAUCGCGGAUCAGCAUGCCGCGGUGAAUACGUUCCCGGGCCUUGUACACACCGCCCGUCACACCAUGAGAGUUUGUAACACCCAAAGUCGGUGGGGUA
rnacentral:rRNA from 1 species